rnacentral:rRNA from 1 species
AGUGAACGCUGGCGGUAGGCCUAACACAUGCAAGUCGAACGGCAGCACAGUAAGAGCUUGCUCUUACGGGUAGCGAGUGGCGGACGGGUGAGGAAUACAUCGGAAUCUACUUUUUCGUGGGGGAUAACGUAGGGAAACUUACGCUAAUACCGCAUACGACCUACGGGUGAAAGCAGGGGAUCUUCGGACCUUGCGCGAUUGAAUGAGCCGAUGUCGGACUAGCUAGUUGGCGGGGUAAAGGCCCACCAAGGCGACGAUCCGUAGCAGGUCUGAGAGGAGGAUCCGCCACACUGGAACUGAGACACGGUCCAGACUCCUACGAGAGGCAGCAGUGGGGAAUAUUGGAAAAGGGGCGCAAGUCUGAUCCAGCCAUAGCGCGUGGGUGAAGAAGGCCUUCGGGGUGUAAAGCCCUUUUGUUGGGAAAGAAAAGCAGCAGGUUAAUACCCCGCUGUUCUGACGGUACCCAAAGAAUAAGCACCGGCUAACUUCG